AUCAAAUUUUGAAAUUCUCCAAAUACACCUCACCUGCCACCAUUUUCUUCGUUCAUUCUGCACAUUGAGAGUAGCAAGCGAUAGAGACACUCAUUUUCACCAAAUUUUGACCCACUGAUGUCACCGUCAUCGUUGUACGAGUGCUCCAAUUGAGAUGAUACUUACAAAUUUCGACGGAUCCAGAGUUGGAUUCGGUUGUGGUUACGAGGUUGAACAACGGCGGUGACAUCUUAGAGUGUUCAGAUCUAGGGUUCCGACAAAAACGGAGAGAGUUACAACUUCCGGUGGUGAAUGUUUAAGAUCCUACAACUAUCAGAGGAGAGGAGGAUCGAACCUUCCAACCAAGUUCUGUUGAAGAUUUCGGCAACUCCAGUAAGGUUGUUUCACAAUUUUAUUAUAGUUUUUUUUUUGUAUUUGGUUAAUGUCUUGAGUUUAAUAGAAGAUAUAUGGUUUCUUAUUAAACCGAAGUUGGUUGUGUUAAACACGGUUUGCAUUUUGAUUGUCUAAUUUAGUUUCUUGAUUUUUUUUGUUAUUAUAUGUUUUGAUCUGAUAAUUCUAUCAAUCUUAGCUUUUAUAACAUUGACAAUCUCACAAUUUUACAAAAAGGAUGAUGAAAGCACGAAGUUAUGAAAGUUAGGAAUAAGAAAUAAUUUGAAUGAUUAUCAUAUAUGUUUGAGGUAAUUGUUUCUUGUUUGCAAUUGCAUACUCAAACAAAUGAGAUGGUUCUUGCUAUGUCUUAGGUGCAUGUCAUCAGGAUUGUUAAUUUGGGUGUAGAAAAAGCACCUUCUGGUCUACUCCUACAUGGACACUUUAUGAUGACAUUACCCGAUCUUAUUAUUUUACAAAUUUAUAAUAGUAAAAUCGGUACCAAUCAAUUGACAAAUUGUAGAAUUCAUGGCUACCUUUUUCAUUAAAUAAAGCAGGUGCCACUCGAUUAAAAAGAAAAGAAGAAUUGCUGAGGUUCUUGUAUCUAAUUAUGUAUUAUAUAUUGAUUCAAUUUUCUUUUUCUUUUAAUUAUGACUAACAAUUGUUACAUUUGAGUCCCAUGAUUCCAUGCCAUUUGAGAGAGUCAUAAUCAGAGUUAUGUAGAUGAAGUAAAGCCUUUCAAAGUUCUAUAAUAUCAUGACUUUGUUCCAUUAAAUUUGAUUUUAUUUUUAAUGUUCUUUUUUCCAAGUGAUAUGUGUGAAUUGGUUCUCAUAUCAAGCCUCAGAGCAAUCACUCCUUAUUAUUUUUACAUGUUAUUUAAUUUCAUGUACAGAUGUGCUUUAUUAUUACGAAGACAGUCGCAUGUUAUCUCCUGUUUUU